AAAUUAGAACUCUAAUUUUGUGCCAUGUGUCUAGAAUUUGAAAUUGAAGUUGAAUUUUGCAUCAUGUGGUUAAAUGUAUGUGGGCUCAUUCUCAUUAAAACCACUUCUAUGUAUCGGGUCAAGUUUGGCACUUAUAACAAUGAAGAAAGCACUGUUGUGGACCGAUGGAUGAUACUUUUUACAGGCUGCAAAGGAACUUAGUGAUCAAUGGAAUCUCACGCGAAUUGGAGAGGACCCGGCUGUAGAUGUCUGGAUGGCAGAUAAGCCAAUGAGAUGAAAUUAAUAACACAUUAAACACUCAUGCUUUGGGAAUCGGUAGUACCAAUCUAAAUCCAUUGGACCUAUUUCGUGAUAAUACAACUAUGAAGGAUGUAUAAAAACACGCACAAACCCCUCUCUCUAUAAAAAGAGAUUGGAGAGAAU